UUUGGAAAAUGAUGAUAAAAAAAUCAAACAAUUUCAACUGAGGCAAAAGCUCUGCUGAUUUGAUUUUUUGCACGUCAGUCUGAUCUCAAA